AGGCGUGGCUUCCGGAGCUAACGCGUUAAAUCGACCGCCUGGGGAGUACGGCCGCAAGGUUAAAACUCAAAUGAAUUGACGGGGGCCCGCACAAGCGGUGGAGCAUGUGGUUUAAUUCGAUGCAACGCGAAGAACCUUACCUGGUCUUGACAUCCACAGAACUUUCCAGAGAUGGAUUGGUGCCUUCGGGAACUGUGAGACAGGUGCUGCAUGGCUGUCGUCAGCUCGUGUUGUGAAAUGUUGGGUUAAGUCCCGCAACGAGCGCAACCCUUAUCCUUUGUUGCCAGCGGUUCGGCCGGGAACUCAAAGGAGACUGCCAGUGAUAAACUGGAGGAAGGUGGGGAUGACGUCAAGUCAUCAUGGCCCUUACGACCAGGGCUACACACGUGCUACAAUGGCAUAUACAAAGAGAAGCGACCUCGCGAGAGCAAGCGGACCUCAUAAAGUAUGUCGUAGUCCGGAUUGGAGUCUGCAACUCGACUCCAUGAAGUCGGAAUCGCUAGUAAUCGUAGAUCAGAAUGCUACGGUGAAUACGUUCCCGGGCCUUGUACACACCGCCCGUCACACCAUGGGAGUGGGUUGCACAAGAAGUAGGUA
rnacentral:rRNA from 1 species